AAGGAAGGAAGAGAAAAAUGAAAAAAAAAAACCUUAAACUUAAAAAGACAUGACAAACGUGGAUGACAGUACUUAUCAUGAAAGCCUGACAACCUGAGUGUAAUCCCAUGAUCCCAGGAAUCUCCCAAAAAAUUCAAAUGUGGUGGGCCACAACUGCAAUCCCAGCAUGCCUAUGGUGAGGUGGAAGGUGGAGACAGGAGAAUGGUUCUAAAGCUCCCAGGCCACCUCCCCUGGAGUACACAGCACAGCAGCAAGAGAGACCCUGUCUCAACAAGGUGGAAGGUGCCAAAGUCUUCUGGUGAUGACAUUAUUGGAAGAUGGUAAAAGCUUUCAUAGUGGGGCCCUAUUGGAGGAAGUUGGUCACUGCACUGGAUGAAAACAUCAGCUCUGGAUCAGCACUAUUAUAUUGCAUAUUGGCUACUGAUGGCUCUACUACCUGUCUAUAUGCAUCACUAUCUAAAAGAAGACACUAGAGCCUCAUACACCUUUAUUCAAGAGAAGUAAAGUAACAAGCAUCAAGUACCUAUGGACCACCUCAUCUGCAAUGCUCCCAAACCUGAUGCUAGAUGUAGAUGGAAAGAAUAUUAAAGAGACAUACUCACCGAUAAGAUCUGGUCUCCUCUCUGGAGCUCCCCACUCAGGUCUGCUGGUCCACCGGCCAGAAUGAAGGAUACAAAAAUACCUUCUCCAUCUUCCCCGCCCACAAUGUUGAAGCCCAGGCCAGUGGAGCCUUUGUGAAGGACUACCUUGCGGGGCUCCCUGUAGAAACAAAUGGAGAACAUAGCUCACAGGGUGACCCCGCUCAGAUUCUGCUUUCUUUUACUUUUGUGGGAAUAUGUGGUACCAGCUGUUCACCACCUACUACAAUGGCGGUGGCUUCCCAUGGUAAAAUGCAUUUGCAGACUAUGAAAGGUCCUAUGAGGGCAGAUACCUGAGUUCUCAUCACAACUACCAACAUCCCAUGCAACACCAUUUCUGAAACACCUUCAAUCAAUGUUUCUUCCACCUUUUCUCUUAAAAAAAUCUGCAAUUGUAUUGAUCAUCAAGUACUACUCAACAGAA